GAUGAACGCUGGCGGCGUGCCUAAUACAUGCAAGUCGAGCGAACAGAUAAGGAGCUUGCUCCUUUGACGUUAGCGGCGGACGGGUGAGUUACACGUGGAUAACCUACCUAUAAGACUGGGAUAACUUCGGGAAACCGGAGCUAAUACCGGAUAACAUAUUGAACCGCAUGGUUCAAUAGUGAAAGGCGGCUUUGCUGUCACUUAUAGAUGGAUCCGCGCCGUAUUAGCUAGUUGGUAAGGUAACGGCUUAUCAAGGCAACGAUACGUAGCCGACCUGAGAGAGUGAUAGGCCACACUGGAACUGAGACACGGUCCAGACUCCUACGGGAGGCAGCAGUAGGCAAUCUUCCGCAAUGGGCGAAAGCCUGACGGAGCAACGCCGCGUGAGUGAUGAAGGUCUUCGGAUCGUAAAACUCUGUUAUCAGGGAAGAACAAAUGUGUAAGUAACUGUGCACAUCUUGACGGUACCUGAUCAGAAAGCCACGGCUAACUACGUG
rnacentral:rRNA from 1 species